GCACAAGCAGUGGAGUAUGUGGUUUAAUUCGAAGCAACGCGAAGAACCUUACCAGGUCUUGACAUCAAGUGACGAACUUAGAGAUAAGUUCUUCCUUCGGGACACGAAGACAGGUGGUGCAUGGUUGUCGUCAGCUCGUGUCGUGAGAUGUUGGGUUAAGUCCCGCAACGAGCGCAACCCUUAUCAUUAGUUGCUACGCAAGAGCACUCUAAUGAGACUGCCGUUGAUAAAA
rnacentral:rRNA from 1 species